rnacentral:tRNA from 1 species
GGUCGCGUAGCUCAGCUGGAUAGAGCACCUGCCUUCUAAGCAGGCGGUCCUAGGUUCGAAUCCUAGCGCGAUCACCA